rnacentral:sRNA from 1 species
GCUAUAAAACCCAGGCCUGCAGGAUCGCUGCACCCGCGGCGGCCUCCUCGGUGCGCGACCCCCGGCCCAGAGGACUCUUUGCUGUCGCGCAAGAUGUGGAUGCUGCUGGCGCUCCUGGCCCUCUCCGCGGCGCGGCCAUCGGCCAGUGCAGAGUCACACUGGUGCUACGAGGUUCAAGCCGAGUCCUCCAACUACCGCUGCUUGGUGCCAGCCAAGUGGGGUGGAAACUGCCAGAAGGACCGCCAGUCCCCCAUCAACAUCGUCACCACCAAGGCAAAGGUGGACAAAAGACUGGGACACUUCUUCUUCUCUGGCUACGAUAAGAAGCAAACGUGGACUGUCCAAAAUAACGGGCACUCAGGUGGGCUGGAUGGAGGCCCCAGGCAGACCUGGGCACCCGAGUUCCCCGAGGACUGAGAGGACAGGGCUCCUCCCAGCAGGGUGUGCCAGACCCAGGCCCAUCUGUGCUGCGAGGGGGCUGAAAAUCCCAUGGGGGAGGACAGCUUCCAGGAGGAGCGAGCACUCUAGUAUGUUUUCGGUACUUUCAUCAGACCAGUCUGGGAUGGGGGGGAGGAAACGUUCCAGGAAGAAGGACAU